CGCACCGUCCUAGGGGAGUAGUCUCCCACGAGCGCCAUGCUCGUCCGGUACGCAUCAACAUACUUGGUCCUCAGACCAUGGUGCGUACGACCCCGAAUCCGCUCAGACGGAUCGGUGGUU
rfam:Pseudomonas syringae strain GAW0119 contig16.1, whole genome shotgun sequence.